AAAAAAAAAAAGACGGAUGGAUGAGAAAUAUUUAAAAAGCCUUUUGAUCCUCGAGUCAAAGAUAUCCUCACUCACCCCCCACUAAAAAAAAAGCGGAGGAAAUCAUCAUAUUCCCAGUAUCGUUUUGAAUUGGAAAGAGAAAUGGAGGCAAACACACACAAAAAAAAGGAGGGAGAGAAUGGGUGGGAUGAACGCGUGAAAAAUGUUAGUCAAAGGCGCCAGCGUUUUUCACAACUGUCAUCUGCAUAUGCAUUAUUUAUCGCACCGUUGAGACAUUGUAUUUCGUUUUAGAGCGAGUGUAGACUCUAUUGGAUGUAGAUGCACUGUGCAGUGUACAGUUUUACACGCACCUCUUUCACCCUGGCGACUUGUUAUUAAAAAUAAAAGAAUGAAUUAUUUCCAUUCAGCCGUAUAGCAACUUGGAUUGGUCGUAAAUUUCACGUUGAAAAACAAAAAUAUAAAAAUGGGAGAUAAUAGUCGCAACAUUGAGAUGACAAUAGGAUAAUCUUCUGUGUGUGCGUGUGUGUGUGUGUGUAACUUUGGAAGAAAACUGAAUCGUCUCUUUUGUUCCAUAUUUUACGACAGUCGGGGCCAAGCUUUUUCUUCCUCCUCCUAUUUUGUUUCUUUUUCAUUUUGAUUUGAUUUACGCAGACGACCCCAAACGGCCAGAUUUCGAAUGCUGAUUAAUACAAAAAUAAAUAAAUGUCACCAACAAAUUAUCCUACGUAGACAACCCGCGGGAUGUCAUUUUCAACGCUGCCAAACAAAACAAAAAGAGGCUCGUAAUAGUUUCUAAAAACAAAACAAAACAAAAACUGGCAAUCAGUUUUAUACAGCCACGUCACUGCAGUGGCGGUCUAUGCAGGACAAAUGUGUUGGCUCUUGUUUAUACAAGGCAGUGCAUUUGUUGUUGUUAUUUGCCAUCUCUGCCAGAGUUUCUCUUUUCAAUAGUGGACACAAGGACAGUGGGAGUGAAUAGAAAAACGUCUCGUUGUGUACAAAUGUUUUUGUCUCGAUUGGACAGUCAGGACACAUUCGGUAGCCAAAUUCUCAUGUUAUUACCCCAUCUGGGGUAAGUCUCUAUGUAUUUAUUGGGGGAAUUUAAGAACGUUAUUUUUAGAUUGUUUCAAAGAGAAUACAAAAGUAGGAAGAAAAACACAAACACACAUAGACACACACACACACACAAAAAAAGGCGUUGAUCUCUCUCAUCUACUGAUUUAUGGUAAUUAACCGUUUCAAGGGUUUACCCACGCUCUCUCUCUCCAAUAACGCACGAUGUAAUCAAAUGCGAGUAGAAUGACUUUUUGCUUCCACUUUCUGUGUGUGUGUGUGUACGUGUGUGUGUGUGUGUGUACAGCACAUUAUAAAAAAGAAGUCAGAGAGAAUGAGACAAUGAUGGGAAAUUCCGGGAUUCUAUCACAUUUCCCGGGAACGAAAAAGAGGGCUGAUGUCUAAAAGCUUUGCUUUUUUGUUCGGUCUGGUGGUUGGUGUGAAUGGCUAAAUCACGACGGUGGGAGAACUUCAGCAAAGCCUCUCAUUCCCGAAAUGCAGUGGACUGUCACAGACGGACUGGCCGAUGAGUCCACAUUUCCUUGCGAGUCCCAGCCAAAAACAGCAAACAAUAAUAAACUAUGAAGAAAGAAUGAAAAUAACAACGCACAGAUGGUGAUUUGCUGCUGUGACGACGCAGUCAGUCACACUCGGAUAAUUACACGGAGCGUGAUGAUAUUCAACUAGACGAAGCUCUACAUUUUAUAGAAUCAGAUGAGUAUAUAAGAAUAAGAGAGAGAGAGAGACUCGACAUUUUGCUUUCUUUUUUUAAAGAGGUUUGUGAAUAAAUUUCCGGCAUGAUUAUGUAUUGCUGCAACACACAUAGUGGCGCUAUAGAUUUUUUAUUUCUUUUUAUUUUCUGUAUUUUUUUUUUUGUUUAGGAAAGAAGAGCGACACUGGGCUUGCUGUUAUUGAAUAGAUAAAGGCAAAAGGAGAAAAUAGACGUCACAGUCUUGACUCAUCAAAAGAAUCUUUUUUUUUCUUUCUGUGAGCGACGAUUGUUGUUGUGGGUCCGCAUUAAAAAAACACACGAACGAAAAAGAAAAAAAAAAUAAAAAUGGGGGGGAAGGGGAAGAUACAGAAAUUGAUGGUGCAUAUCAAAAAGCGUGAGUCGCCCGUUGCGCACCACACUGAAAGCCGGGGGCCGCGUUCCUGCGUGUGAUCAUGUGGAAAUUUUAUUUUUUAUUUUUUUCAAAUAUAAUCCUCCGAGUUUUUGGUUUUUUUUUUUCUUCUUCUUAAUGCCCUCCCUCUUUCUUUAUUUAAUUUUUUGUCAGUUUUAUUUGUUCAAAAAUUAUUUCAGAGACUCAACAACAAACCCUUAUUUUUUUAGCUGUUGCGUUAUGUCGGAGGUGGAGGUAUAUGAUGAGUGGGUUGCAAACCCAAAUCGCUCAAUUUCCUGUUACGUUGAAUAACACAGAGAUUACAUGCAUCCAGUAGUUUCGAUGUCCUUUUCUCGUGUCCACUUUCGUACUUUAAGGAAAACUAUUUAAACUUGUUAUUGCCUAGUAAAAUGUUUAUUUUCAUUAAUAUUUCCCCAGGUGUGUGCUGGACUUCAUCGUUCAUUCAACGCUGCUGAGGUGAAUGAAGAAUCAAGGACAGAUAUUCAGGGUUCAGAGAGAACAAUAUCAACACAGACAGGCCUUGGGAAAUGAGUAUCCAAGAUUCACGUUCCAACGAUUGCACGAUUUUCCUUUAUUAAUUUUUGAAAUCAACACAGUAAUUGCGUGUUGUGGAUGGAUCAUAUUUUUAUGUCUGUAAUGUUUACAUUUUCUCUUUUGGCAUUAGUGAUUACAUCAUGUCUUUUCGUAUUCGUUUCUUUUGAAGGGGAAAAGGUUAGUUACUGUUGCUGUGUAGGGCACUGGUUAGGUUAUCGUUGCUGUUAAUCUGACCAUUGGAAGCUCCAUCUUUUUGCGCCACAUUGCUGUGCCAGCCCAGCACUCUUUUGCGUCCAUUCCCUUUGGGGGUCUUUUCUUUAUUUUUAUUUUAUUUUUUUUCUUAUUCUUGUAUGCAGCAGUAGUGUGUGUAGUACUGUUAUACCUCUACCCCAGCUGAUUCCAAUCGGUCAUUAAUAAACGCUGACGUUUAACAAGCAACCCGUUCACAAUGUCUCCAACAGCAUUCCACCUAUAACACACAUACACUGGAAAAGGAGAAGGAAGAAGAAGAAGAAGAAAAAAAAAGGGACAGACGGAACGAGAGAGUCGCGUUCAUUAGCUCCUUCAUCGGUCUUACUUCUUGCACGGCUGCACCCCCAUCUCUUUUAGAUAAAUUUCUAUUCUUUUCAGUCAGGGCAUUGGGGGUCUCUGCCUUCAAGAGCACCACGAAGGAAGGAAAACCUUUGACCUAUAAUAGACAUAAGAGUUUCCAUGUGGCAGGUAUGGAUGUGCACACACAGGACGUGCUAUCUACCAAUUCCAGCAGAUUCUAUUUCUUGUAUUUUAUUUUUUUGUGGUCGGUCGCUCAUUUUCUCUGUGAGCCCCCAAAAGAUUUUAUUCUCAUGUUCAACCCAGGGUGUGACAAACGACACUGAGGUGCACAGCAGCACAACAACAUGAAACGAUCGUCUUCCAUCGAGGGACAGAUUUCUAUUUUUCUUACCCUCCCAUCAUUCACCAGUGAUACAGGAAGAAGGAGCUGAUGGGGGUUACAAACACACUCACAUACAGAAGAUGAAAAUAGUAAUAAUAAUAAUAAAAAGAAGAAGGCCAAGAAAUCUUUUCGUUUCUUUUGUUGUCAUAACGACGCACAAUAGAUUUUGUGGCCACAGGUAUGAAGGAAAUGUUAUAGACCUUAUAGGGGCUUGUGUGUUUAUAAUAUAUGUACAAAUGUCUAAGGCUUG